GACGAACGCUGGCGGCGCGCCUAACACAUGCAAGUCGAACGGAGUCAAGAGGAGCUUGCUUUUCUUGACUUAGUGGCGAACGGGUGAGUAACGCGUGAGUAACCUGCCCUGGAGUGGGGGACAACAGUUGGAAACGACUGCUAAUACCGCAUAAGCCCACGGAUCUGCAUGGAUCUGCGGGAAAAGGAUUUAUUCGCUCUAGGAUGGACUCACGUCCAAUUAGCUAGUUGGUGAGGUAACGGCCCACCAAGGCGACGAUUGGUAGCCGGACUGAGAGGUUGAACGGCCACAUUGGGACUGAGACACGGCCCAGACUCCUACGGGAGGCAGCAGUGGGGGAUAUUGCACAAUGGGGGAAACCCUGAUGCAGCGACGCCGCGUGGAGGAAGAAGGUUUUCGGAUUGUAAACUCCUGUCGUUAGGGACGAUAAUGACGGUACCUAACAAGAAAGCACCAGCUAACUACGUG
rnacentral:rRNA from 1 species